ACUUAGCUGACGAGCCCCAAAUAGGACGAAACCCGUAUCCUGGAU
rfam:Schistosoma rodhaini strain Burundi genome assembly, scaffold: SROB_scaffold0013505